GGAGAGAUGCCCGAGUGGUUGAAGGGGACGGACUGUAAAUCCGUUGGCUCAGCCUACGUUGGUUCAAAUCCAACUCUCUCCACCA
rnacentral:tRNA from 1 species